rnacentral:rRNA from 1 species
GAUGAACGCUGGCGGCGUGCCUAAUACAUGCAAGUCGAGCGAAGCGGGGACGGGUGAGUAACACGUGGAUAACCUCCUUUAUGACUGGGAUUACUUCGGGAAACCGGAGCUAAACCGGAAACUUAUAGAUGGUUCCGCGCUGCAUUAGCUAGUGGGUUAGGUAACGGCUUACCAAGGCAACGAUGCAUAUCCGACCUGAGAGGGUGACCGGCCACACUGGAACUGAGACACGGUCCAGACUCCUACGGGAGGCAGCAGUGGGGAAUCUUCCGCAAUGGGCGAAAGCCUGACGGAGCAACGCCGCGUGAGUGAAGAAGGUCUUCGGGUCGUAAAGCACUGUUAUUGGGGAGGCGGUACCUAAUCAGAAAGCCACGGCUAACUACGUGCCAGCAGCCGCGGUAAUUC